GAAAAUGUUUUGAAAUCGAGCGCAAAAUUCAAUCUCGAUUACGAACGAAAUCCAAUGACCCCCAACCUUCUCUUUUAGAAUCACUAUGAUUAUCAGAAGACAACCAUCUGGAUCAGGACCUUCCAUUAAUGGAGUUAAAGUUUCUCCAACUGGUCUUAAACUACCAGAUCUUGCAAUCAAUGGUUCUGGUUGUGUAACAUAUUGAUUUAAAUGAUGAUGGGUAUUUUUAUGAUUACUACUUCUUCUUCUUCUUCUAAAUGGUGAUGGACUUCUUCCUCUUGAUCUUGCUGGUGAUAAUGCUCUUACUACAUCUUCUUUCAAUGCUGAGAAAAACCCUUGUUUCUUUUCCAUUUCUUCUCAUCUAUCUUAAAAAAAACCCAAACUUCUAAUUAAAAAUCGAAAAAUUAAACAAAACCCAAACUUCAAAAACCCUUUAUUUGAACAAAGGUCAAGAAGAAGAUGAAGGAUAGAUUGAUUUCUUCAUCAAAAAAGAAUCUUUCUUGAAAGAAGAAGAAGAAGGUUUCUGAAGGAAAAUCAGAAGGAAACCAAAAGAAAUGAAAGAAAGAAUUGAUUUGAUUCAGAAUGAGAGAGAGAGAACAAAGGUGAGAGACCACUCACUGAAAAAGCCAACUGAACAGAGAGAGAGAGAGAGAGAGAGAGAGAGAGAGAAAUGCUGAGAGUUAGUUUUCAAGAGAGAGAGAGCAAAUGGUGUGAAGCCCAAAAUAUAAGCCCAAAUUAAAGCCCAAACCGAAAACCGAACCGAACCGAACCG
rnacentral:lncRNA from 1 species